rnacentral:rRNA from 1 species
GAUGAACGCUGGCGGCGUGCCUAAUACAUGCAAGUCGAGCGAACAGACGAGGAGCUUGCUCCUCUGACGUUAGCGGCGGACGGGUGAGUAACACGUGGAUAACCUACCUAUAAGACUGGGAUAACUUCGGGAAACCGGAGCUAAUACCGGAUAAUAUAUUGAACCGCAUGGUUCAAUAGUGAAAGACGGUUUUGCUGUCACUUAUAGAUGGAUCCGCGCCGCAUUAACUAGUUGGUAAGGUAACGGCUUACCAAGGCAACGAUGCGUAGCCGACCUGAGAGGGUGAUCGGCCACACUGGAACUGAGACACGGUCCAGACUCCUACGGGAGGCAGCAGUAGGGAAUCUUCCGCAAUGGGCGAAAGCCUGACGGAGCAACGCCGCGUGGGUGAUGAAGGUCUUCGGAUCGUAAAACUCUGUUAUUAGGGAAGAACAAAUGUGUAAGUAACUAUGCACGUCUUGACGGUACCUAAUCAGAAAGCCACGGCUAACUACGUG